UGCAGCCAUGUAAAAUUCAGUGCUUCCUCCUAUGUGGCCAAAAUGGCUGCCACAUUGAAGCUGUAUUUCAUGGGCCCCACGGUGCUUCAUCAUGUCCACUGGGGAUAUAAAUGUACUACACACAAAC